rnacentral:tRNA from 1 species
GGAGGCGUCGCAUAGUGGUCUAGUGCGCGCGCUUGGAAAGCGCGUAACCCGUAAGGGUUCGAGAGUUCGAAUCUCUCCGCCUCCG